rnacentral:rRNA from 1 species
UACGUAGGGAGCAAGCGUUGUCCGGAAUUACUGGGCGUAAAGCGCACGUAGGCGGCUUUGUAAGUUAGAGGUGAAAGCCCGGGGCUCAACUCCGGAAUUGCCUUUAAGACUGCAUCGCUAGAAUUGUGGAGAGGUAAGUGGAAUUCCGAGUGUAGAGGUGAAAUUCGUAGAUAUUCGGAAGAACACCAGUGGCGAAGGCGACUUACUGGACACAUAUUGACGCUGAGGUGCGAAAGCGUGGGGAGCAAACAGG